CGUGCUUCAAAAUUUGACCUUUAGAUUAUCAUAAUCAUGACGUGUGAAUGCUUAAAAUUCUUCCGAAUCCUUUGUAUCAUAUAAAUCAAUCACAACUUUUUUAACUCUGUAAAGCCAACAUGAGGUCCUUUCUAAGCAUUGAAGAAUGAGGGUUACAUGCCCAUAAAGAAGCCCAAACCGGCAAGCCCAGCAAAAAAAAGAAAAAAGAAGAAGGUAAUAGAUUAGGUCUCUCUAAAAGUAGAGUUGAUCCAUUCAAAUCCUGGCUCGAGCCGAUAUACAAUUUUAAUGAUAAAAAUAAAGGUAAAUUAUUUAUUUGGUAUCAUCCAAAUAAUUUUCCUUUUGUAAUUUACUCACCUCCAUUAGAAGACUUUCAUUUUGGUCCUCCAGACCUUAAAUCUCCAAGGACAGCUGAUUAGUCAUCAUUUUUUUUUUUGACCCAGCACUGUUCAUCUUCUUCCUCCUGAAUCAAAUUUUCUCUCCCAGCCAUUUCUUUCUUACUUUCUUUGCUAACAGCAGGUAGGUGCACACCAAAGGGAGGGAGGGAGAGAUGAGUUCGCUUAAGCUUCAAAAACAACUCUCAGAGAGCAUUCUAUAGUGUGGAAAAUGAAAGGUUUGGCUCGAUGCAAUUGAAGUCAACGAGAUCUCCAUUGCCAAUCAACUUUGAUCGUUUUGUAAUAAUAACUUUUAAGUCGAGGCCAUAAUAUAAGGAAGCUGGUUAAAAUGGUUUUAUCAUCAGGAAACCAAUCGAGAUUCACUCUCGGUCUCGUGCGCGCUGCAUGAGGAAGGUAAGAGAAAGGGGUGUCACUCUGGAUAUGGCGUCACUCUUGGCAUUGUCAAUCUAGUGGAAAAAAAUUGGAUUAAGGAAGAACAAGAUGAUGAACUGGGCCAAAAAUGGACCGGAAAGAAUGGCUCGACGUGAAGGACAACUCGAAAAUAUGGUUCCGGCAGCACAUCACUCCUUGGAACUUUGUUUUCUCCUUCAUGCUUCGUGAAUUUUGGUUGACAAUAAAUCCUCUGGUAUUUAAGGAAAUCCAAACAACAAUGGAAAAAGCUGAUGAGUGUGCCAACACCUUCAAUAGUGGGAGUUACAUGGACAACACCUGCAUUUGAUUGGUUAAAAUUGAAUUGGGAAGAAUCUUCCAUAAGCAACAUGAGCAAGAUAUAGGAGCUGGAAGUCUCACCGGAAAUCUAGAAGGGAAUGGAUCAUCGGUUCGUUGAAAGUAGAGUUAUAAUGGACUAGACUAUUCGUCCAAGCUGAAAGGUCUGUCCGGAAAGUGAAAGGGUUUGAACAAAAAUAUAUGUCCAAAAAACGGGAUUAGACAAAUAAUAAGACCUUCUUUCUAAA